UACGUAGGUGGCAAGCGUUGUCCGGAUUUACUGGGCGUAAAGAGCGCGCAGGCGGUCGUGCAAGUCGCGUGUGAAAGCCCCGGCUCAACUGGGGAGGUCACGCGAUACUGCUCGACUCGAAGGCAGGAGAGGGAAGUGGGAAUUCCCGGUGUAGUGGUGAAAUGCGUAGAUAUCGGGAGGAACACCAGUGGCGAAGGCGACUUCCUGGCCU
rnacentral:rRNA from 1 species